rnacentral:rRNA from 1 species
AUACGUAGGGGCCAAACGUUGUCCGGAUUUAUUGGGCGUAAAGGGCUCGUAGGCGGUUCAACAAGUCGAUCGUGAAAGCCCGGGGCUCAACCCCAGGAUGCCGGUCGAAACUGUUGUGACUAGGGUCCGGUAGAGGUGAGUGGAAUUCUCGGUGUAGCGGUGGAAUGCGCAGAUAUCGAGAGGAACACCAGUUGCGAAGGCGGCUCACUGGGCCGGUACCGACGCUAAGGAGCGAAAGCGUGGGGAGCAAACAGGAUUAGAUACCCCGGUAGUCC